CGGGAAUGUGAUGUCAUCAGAUCAGCAAUGAUCGUACUGAACAGUGGCUUGCAAGGGUGCUCCUGCUCCUAAUUGUCAUGUUGAAAUGAAUACAGUUCCUAAAAGGACAGUUUGGGACCAUCCAGUGCUAAGUUCUCUUUGAAACAGCCUAACACAAAGGAGCGAAUUUAAUGCCUUCCUUGAGGCAUGUCAGGUCAUGGGGGUGCCAUGUAUUCAUAUAGGAGAAUGGCAGGCAGGGAGCCCACUGCCUUUGUGCCCCUGCCUUGAUUAAGUCCGUGCCAGGAAGGCUUGUGGAUGACCUUCCACCACCACUUCUAAUUCAGGUCUUUAAUUGGACCUUCUCGUGUUCACCAUGGUUCAUCGUGCGAUCCAACAGAUAUCAUGGAACAGGAUGGCCCUUGAGUCUCAGAAUAAGGAUCCCCUAAAAGGACCCUCACCAACUUCUACAGAUGCACAAUUGAAAGGGAGC